CCGGGGGUCCUCUAAAACCCUUUUCCUGUUUUCCAACCUCCAUGGGCGCCUCAUGGUAGUAGCGCACUAGCACCACUCCCACCCACAUGGCUCGCCGCCUCCUCGCCCGCCACCUCGCCCCGCACCUCCGCCUCACCGCGCGGUGUCCCGCGGCCCCUUCCUACUCGCCGGCCCUCGCCGUUAUGCGCUUCAGAACCGGCGGCCCGAUAUCACGCCCCCCAGCCUGGGCGGCUCCCCAAGGAACACGUUUCUUUGCUGAUGAUCAUUCACACUACGAUCUGUUUGGUAAAAGAAGGCCGGGUGAUGAAGAGUUUAGGAAAGCUUGGCAAGAGAAUGUUGACGAGGAGGACUACCUGUGGACAGCUAGUGAGGAUGAGGAGGAUGGGGAAGAAAAUGAUACAAAAAUGGAGAGGGAAAUUAAGAAAGUGAAGAAGCAAGCCAAGGAAAAUGCAAAUCUUAUUGAUGCUGAUGACAGUGACGAGUUACGAAGUAUAUGCCCUGAGAGCGAUGAAGAUGAUAUGAAUCUCUGGAGUGGCAGUGAAGAGGAUGAUGAUAAUGAUAUCCCUACUGAGGCACACCCCAACGAGCGCAGUGAUUCAUACAUAGAUAAGGUGUUUGAAUUUGACGAGACACCUAAAUAUCGCACAAUCUCUGAGCUGUUAAAAGCUGAGAAGGAACCGCCAGAGCUGUCUCCAGGAAAGCAAGCAAGAAAACUUGCUGUAGAAAAUGCUCUCAAGAAGUUGAAGAAAGGACCUGAUGGACGCUACAUUAACGUAUUUGAUGUUGUCACUGAUAUAGAUAUCCUGAUUGGAGCAUUUGAGAACAUUGUUUCAGGGCCAGAAUACGCAGAGCUGCGGGAGGGUGGACCAAAGAAGCUCAAUAUACAGUUCUUUAAGGAUAUACAAGCACGCAUGAGAGACCCAAAUUUCAAAUUUUCUCCAGAGUUAAAGCUAAAGCCAAAGAGUAAGUUGGUGCCUAAGAAAAAGUGGCAGAAAGCACAGGCAAGGAAGAGGAAAAAUGACAAACGUUGAGCUGACUAACACACAGGUUGAUCUGGAAGACCAUGGGACUGUUGAAGGGUAACAUGCAAAUAUUUUACAUGGAUUUGUUAAAUUCCGACUUUCAGGAAGAGGAAUUGAUCAAAGCAAAGGAAGCUUCGUGUGGAAUCAUGCAGGUGAGUGCUCGUGCCCUCCUUGUAGUUAAUCUUAUUUUAUCCACUCAUCUGGCCUCAAUUACAGCUCCAUCCAUAUUAAAUUGUACACAAACAGUAUUAUAAGAUUCACCGUGCUAAGCUUCUUAUCUGGAAGCAUGAGCGGCGAAUCAAUAUUUAAAUUGUUGAGUCUUCUGUUACUGUUCAAAUGCUAUUAGUAGGGCCUGGAAAGCAUAUUGCUCUGAGGUUUCCCCUGUAUCGGUAAUGUGGUCGGCUGGCUUCACAGCCUAUCCUUCCUUUGUUUAAAGCUGUCAGACUAUUUUUGUGGAGAAACGUGGUUUUAUCUUUUAACUUUUAUGAUAUAAAGCAAAAGCGACAAUUCACUGAAGAUUCAUCUACGGAUUUUAGGUUAUAAAAGACAUGUUGCUUUAAAUCAAGUAGGUCUCUUUAAUCAUUUUUGGACCAGGAGUGCUUUCGUCAAGAUUGUAUUUUCACAAUUAUGACUUAACCAUUUAUUUAUUGUUGCUUAUCAUAGGAUAUAUGUCAUUGAGAUUUCUGUUCCUGCUUAAUCAUUAGAGCUAGUUUUGCUGACCUAGCUGGGAUUUCAGUUCGCUUAUUACUUCAUUAAGGCAAUAUUAAUUGAAGGCAAACCUUUUCUUCACCGCAGUCUUCAAAAUUCCAGAAACGAGCAACCUCACUGCAGUUUUUAAAUGUUGGUGCUUUAGUACUUCAAAAUUCCCCAAUUUAGAAUUUUCACAAAUAUAUAACUGUACAGCUAUCACCCAAAUAUCAUAGCUCUGAAACGAACUCUAGCGUGCCUAAACAGGUGAAUGCUGCAUUCCAGAAAGAAACGUCAUCACCUGCCCCAAUGGACCUUUGCUUUCUUGUUCAAGUUGCAGGGGCCAUUUUCUCGGUAGUUGCAAGCACCAAUUCACUGUGCCUCACAGCUGCAGGUCAAAAAGACAUGCCCCCAUGGUACUCCUCCGCAGGCCUGACUGUCUCAAAGCCCCCUCCCUCCUGAACAUUAGUUUCUCCUUUUCAUGCCGCUGCUCUGUCAUCAUAAUCCCUUGUACUAAAAGCAAGUAAUAACCUACUCUAUUGAUAUACCAAGGCUGCAUGCUAAAGUCUAAAGAUGAUCUUUUGUGUUUAAGUUUACUGUGCUUGGCUUUCCAUGCCUCAGGCCUCAGCUGAGUUCCAGCUUUUGUCCACUGCUUUCUGUAUUCUGGUCCCUCAUACUCGUUGAUGAGAGGUCGGCUGUACGUGGGUCUCACAUGUGUGUGGGGGAAGGGAAUAUGUUGACUGAAAUGACGAGAAAGCUUUAUCUCAACUUCACCAGCAUGGUAGUACCACGGCAGUGUCUACCUUCCAUCUUUUUCUGCUUGGGAAAAACUUCUUUCCCACAAAGUGAGUAUGCUGGGUACAAAUAAGGGAAGUGUCUCAUAUCUUUUGUUACUUCUCGAAAGGAAAGAAAGCGGGGUUUGUGAUCUAGAUUUGGCUUGUUUGGUGGCUGCAUAUCGUUUUGUCCUCUAUCAUUUUGAUUUAGGACCAUCAGUUUGGUGAGAUGGGAAUGUGGGCUGGGGAAUUUAAUAACUUGCUCCUGGGGAUCAGUGAGCUUGUUAAUGCGUGUAUUCUCGGAUAACUUAGCUGGUAACUUAUCAUAGAAAUGGCUUUACCUUGUAUUCCAUCCUCAAUACAAGGAAUUUCUCCUCCUGCAGGUACCUUUGCACGAUACAGUUACUACUAUAUGCUAAGCUUUGUCCUUGUAUCCUGCCCAAUUCAUGGAAUCUCUUCUCCUGCAGGCAGCUUUGCACGUUGCUAUUACUACUAUGCUAUCAUCUGGAUCUUGCGUUGAGUUGACCAUCAUUGCUGUAGGUAUGUGUGCCUGCAAGCCCGUGGCAUUUGCUGGCUUACAAUCUAGGAUGAUCGCCACCUUGCCGGGCUAUCGAUGGAACAGUUUUUCUUCAAGCAAUAUGAAAAAAAACAACGGCCAUGUUCGUACCAGAUGGAAAUACUAACAUGGGCCCCACAUGUCGGUCUUGCAACAGUGUCAGAGCUCGCUGUGGGCCCAGUGGAGCUAGCUAGCUUUUGCAUGCACGCAUGCAUGCAAUGAACAAACACACAAGGAGGAACAGAGAGAGCAGGUGGGCGAUGGAGGCUUUUAAUACUGCUGGAUAGGUUGCAUAGCUGGUGGUAGCAGCAGCAAGCAAGGAGCGGAGAGGAAGGAAUUGAUGGAAGGCAGAGAGAGGUGUGGUGAAAAAGGAAACAGCGACUUGACGACGGACUCCUCCUCCUUCACCUAUCAUCAGUUCAUCACUGGACACUGGCCUUGCUUUCUUGCUCCCAAGAUUUACACUCUCCAGUAGUCCAGUAGCAUCGCACGAUGCUCUCCUGCCUUCUUGCUGCUGCUGCUGGAGAUUUGAUUUUCGCUCCACGUUAUCCAGUGGUUGCUAUGGAAGAUACUACACCGGUGUGUACGUAGCUGGCAUCCGGAAUUCAAGGAUAUGAUACCACUAGUCAUCUACUGCAUGGCUGCUAGCUACUCCUCCAGUCAAGUCCAGCGAGCAAGUGCGUACGUACUCCUGGAUGUAUGUACUAUACUUUGGAGCUUGUGCUACCUGCAUGGAGAUCUGAUCCUGACCUACAUUGCUCUAUUUUACCGGUUUGUGGAAAAACAUGCUUUUGGAUGUUCUGAAACGAAUGCAGUUUCUUUGCACUGUUAGUUAUGUUGCACUGAACAUGCUCAGUUGGUUUGUGUGUCAUUUAGGAACCCAGCAGUGGAUAGGUUUACUACUGCUACCAAGAUUUCAGAAGAUCCUUUUCUUUUCGAAUCCAUUGUUUCAGAAGAUCUGUUGAAACAGAAGCGCAUGAUACAUCAUGAUUCUUAGAAGGCAGCUAAAGGGCAGAACCAAGUCCCGGCUCUUCAUUAAUUCGUCUUCGGUUAACAAGCCAGGAGCGUAUUUAGUUUUUCUCCUCUGGGCAGUGGCUGGGGCAUAUGGAGGAUAGCAUUGCGCUGAACUGUUCCAGCACUGGUGCCACAGCAGGAGGUGAGGUGAUCCAAACAAACUCUUUACUGGUCUGCUAAUUAAAUUUUUCGAGCGUGCAGGCCUGCUGCUCUCCAACGGGUAAAAAAGGAACAGGGUGGGAUCCACGGAUGCAGUGUCCCCUAGUGACAGUUUGGCUGCUUGGAGUGAGUGUCCUCUGCACAGUAUUAUGAUGAUGUUACUGCUACUUAUUACCACCACCAUCCUGUGCUGUUGAAAGCUGAUGAAGGAGGUACAGUAAUAAGUGUGGGAAAAAAAAUACUAAAGCGAGAUGGGAGAAGAUGAGAAUGCGUAGGCCCCUUGACAACACCCAAGAGUGACUGGGUUUUUGUGCUGGAUUUCAGGGCUUGCUUUUGGCAUCUCUCUGUUGGCCAUGGCUGGCUGCAGCUGCAAGCCUACAAAUGGACGAGAUUAACAUGUCUUAUUCCAUGUGCCCACAGCUGCACACCCAAGCCUUUUGGAUCCAUCUGCCCGUUGCCUAUGUUUUCUCUGUCGCUUUUUCCUUGUCGAAUUGGAUGGGAAUGGACGGUCUGGAUGAAGACACGCAUACAUCUCCCCGACCAAACGCACACCAGGGAGGCUGCUUAAGAAGCAAAUGUCUUUGCUGAAGCAUAAAACAAGGGGCUACACAAAACAGAUCGAUGAAAGCUUCUUCCGAGACUAAACAACUUGAGAUGGUUUAACCGAUUGCAGAGGGCAUUCUGCACUGCAGCGUCUGCAUUUCAUUUCACUGGAUUUCUUGCUCGCCCGGCAAUCUGGCAAAGGAAGGAAAGCAAGGCUGAUUUGAGAGAGUGCAGCAGAGGUGGAGUGUCCGAACAGAUCUGAGAGAAAAGGAAUUGAAGCGAGAGGUGCACCAUGGGUCCUGUUGGAAAAGACCAAACAGUGGAGGUACGUACUAGUAGCAGCAGGAUUAAAUUUUGGCGUCCAUCGCUGCAGUCACGUCCAUGCAUGCUGAUGCUGUUCAAGACUUCAAUCUGAUGUGAUGUGUAGUAAUGGAUUACAAAGAGUUUCUAGGGAGGGAGGGUUGGAUUUUUGGAUAUCUAUUCUAUUCAUUCCCCCGGUCGACGUGAUGGGAUUACAAAGGUUAGUUUUCAGUUGGAGCAUCAUGAUGUUGUCUCCUUCCUGUUGGCCGCUCAAGCUUCAGGUUGUUUCUUAAUCUCCAGAGUAAUCCAUACUGCUAGUAAGUAAUAUUGUUACAUGUCUGCCUGGACUAUAUCGUACAGCAAAUUGAACCGGCAACAGAUCAGACCACGGACGUCACAUGCAGUUGCAGUCUUGCAUAUGCAGCACAGGCUGCACAUCACACAAGAUCUGUAUGAACCUUGCAUGAACUGGUCUUUUUGGGCAGAAUUGUAUGUCCGCAUUCUCCAGGCUCCAGCACA